GGAGUUGUGGCUCAGCGGUACAGCAUCUGCUUGGAAUUCAAAAGGCUCCAGAUUCAAUCCCUGAUGUCUCCA
rnacentral:tRNA from 1 species